rnacentral:rRNA from 1 species
GCGAAAGUCCCCUUCGGGGGACAAGUAGAGUGGCGCACGGGUGAGUAACACGUAGGUAAUCUACCUUCGGGUGGGGAAUAACAACCGGAAACGGUUGCUAAUACCGCAUAAUGCAGCGGCACCUAAUGGUGACAGUUGUUAAAGCGGGGGAUCGCAAGAUCUCGCGCCUGAAGAGGAGCCUGCGGCGGAUUAGCUAGUUGGUAGGGUAAUGGCCUACCAAGGCGACGAUCCGUAGCCGGCCUGAGAGGGCGGUCGGCCACACUGACACUGACAUACGGGUCAGACUCCUACGGGAGGCAGCAGUCGGGAAUUUUGGGCAAUGGGCGAAAGCCUGACCCAGCAACGCCGCGUGAAGGAUGAAAUCCCUCGGGAUGUAAACUUCGCAAGAACGGGAAGAAUAAGUUUGUGCUAAUACCACAAGCGAUGACGGUACUGUUUGUAAGCUCCGGCUAACUCCGUGCCAGCAGCCGCGGUAAUACGGGGGGAGCAAGCGUUGUUCGGAUUUACUGGGCGUAAAGGGCGCGUAGGCGGCCUCCGCAAGUCAGUUGUGAAAUCUCCGAGCUUAACUCGGAAAGGUCAACUGAUACUGCGGGGCUAGAGUGCGGAAGGGGCAACUGGAAUUCUUGGUGUAGCGGUGAAAUGCGUAGAUAUCAAGAGGAACACCUGCGGCGAAGGCGGGUUGCUGGGCCGACACUGACGCUGAGGCGCGAAAGCUAGGGGAGCGAACGGGAUUAGAUACCCCGGUAGUCCUAGCC